rnacentral:misc_RNA from 1 species
UUUUUUUUUUUUUUUUUUUUUCACCUUUGGAAUCACAGAGUUAUAGUAGCUGUAAUUGUUUUGAUUUUGAUGAUAGCUGCACAUUAUAACAGUCUGCUGUUUUCCUUUCUGUGAAGUCAUUGCGGAGCCUGGUUGAGGUCCGCAAGUGAGUUUGGUGUAUUCAGGGAUUAGUCCUUCAGGAUUCUAUAUCGGAUGCGGAGUGUGCGUGUGUAUGGCUUAUAUAGGAACAAAAACUCUGUUAAAAUUGUCAUGAUUUUAACAGCGAUUCAUUCCUUCACUGGCCCAUGUUUGCAUGUGUUUUAUCUAUAUAAAAAAAAAGUCAUUGUGGAGGUGGGUAGAGCUGAUUAUUCGGUUCAAUCCGAACCGAAC